rnacentral:misc_RNA from 1 species
UAGGAUUCACCGGUAGAUGAUUGGAAUUUGUGUUCAGUGUGGGUUUGGCUGUUGUGGCGGUGGCUCGCCGCUCCAUGUGAUACUAACCUUAAGGUCUUGUGCACUCGCGUAUAUACUCCUUCUUGUCCUCCUCGUACACAUAUACCACCAAGAUGUCAUUCCGACUGGUCCGACAGAGCAAGUUCCGUCACGUAUACGGCACUUGUUUAAAGAGGGAACAAUGCUUCGAUAAUAUACGAGUCAGCAAGUCUUCGUGGGACUCUACAUUCUGUGCUGUUAAUCCCAAAUUCUGUGCUAUUAUAGUUGAAUCGGGUGGAGGUGGAGCUUUUAUUGUUCUACCUCUCACUAAAGUUAACAAGACAUAUUUAUCGAAGAAAGCGUCGACGGCUGGACGUAUUCCACCCGACCAUCCGUUGGUGGGAGGUCACAAAGGGCCGGUACUGGACAUUGCUUGGGAUCCCUUCAACGAUAAUGUUAUUGCCUCGGGCUCUGAAGACUGUGUAGUGAAAGUGUGGCAAAUUCCCGACUAUGGUUUGGUGACGACAAUGACAGAACCAGUGGUUGAUUUGAUGUACCAUCAACGACGAGUUGGGAUGGUUGUGUGGCAUCCCACAGCCAAUAACAUACUCCUCUCUGCUGGUUCUGACAAUAUUGUUGUUAUUUGGAACAUUGGGUGUGGGGAUCCCCUCACUACCAUUGAUGUUCACCCAGAUAUCAUUUAUUCUUGCUGCUUCAACUGGGAUGGCUCUCUUCUCUUAACCACGUGCAAAGAUAAGAAAAUUAGGAUAAUCAAUCCACGUGACGGUGAAGUAUUUGAGGAAGCAACAUCACAUGAAGGUAGUAAAGCCACACGAGCCAUCUUCCUCCGUAAUGGACUGGUGUUCACAACAGGGUUCAGCAAGAGGUCAGAGCGCCAGUAUUCUUUACGUGCCCCUGGCCACCUGGACGACCCCAUCACCAUGGUGGAGCUGGAUUCCUCUAAUGGUGUUAUGUUCCCUAUGUAUGAUCCUGAUACCAACCUUGUCUAUCUCUGUGGAAAAGGUGACAGUGUCAUUCGGUACUUUGAAAUCACGCCGGAGGUGCCGUUUGUACACUACAUCAACACCUUCCAGUUACCAGACCCACAACGAGGAAUUGGCAUGAUGCCCAAGCGUGGUGUGGAUGUAACUACAUGUGAAAUCACUCGCUUUUACAGACUCAACAACAGUGGCUUCUGUCAAAUAAUUACUAUGACAGUACCUAGAAAGUCCGAGUUGUUCCAAGAGGACCUGUACCCUGAUACGUCGGGUGAUAUUCCUGCCGUGAGUGCGGAGGAAUGGUGGGAGGGCCAGAAUAAGGAACCACUCCUUAUGUCACUCAAAGAUGGGUACCAGGCCACACAGAAAACUGAGCUGAAGGUGACCAAGAAAAAGACCAAUAUAUUGGACAAAAUGCCACCCACAGGCAAAGUCAAAUCAGAGGAAGAUGGCAAAGCAACAGCUAUCUCCUCUGAAGCUCUUGAAAAAGUUAAUGAGGUCUCAAAAGUGAAUGAUGAUCUAAGGAAAAGAAUAGACGAGCUGCAGACCGAGAUGAAGAAAUUCAAGGCAGUAUUCUUGAAGCAGGAAAACCGCAUCCGAGUCCUUGAGAAUAAACUAGGAGAGCUAACAGGAACUGCUGGUGCCCCGCCUCCGCCGCAGGAGAUGGUGCCUGUCACAUCUUGUUACAAAAUUCACUGUGUGAGGAAGCAACCCGUGCAAGGUCAUGUGGUGCAUGCCCCAAGCACUCUUUCUGCCAACACGGUCAACAACAAUUGUGACAUGGCCCCAGAUGAGGUGUAAAUGCAAGAGACUGCCAGAUCUGAGUCCCUCUGAUACAAGACGCUGGUGAUUAAGUGAGCUAUGGAGUUUGCACUCACCAUGCAAAGUCCCAGCAUCACACGGCCAAUCACGUGCAGAUGCGGUCGAAAUGACUCUGGGAUACUCACAGCUCUCGCAAUGAAUCUUCUCGCCAUUGUGUAGGAUCGUAAUCGUGUUAAAUAUUGUCUAAAUAUGUAGCCAGUUUCCAAGUAUACUUGAGAAAGGUUGUACACAGAGUAGAGAGAGAAAGUGUGUGACUGGUGCAUCAAUUGGUUAGUCAUGUGAGCCAAGUGAGUGUGAAGACUUUGUACAUAAUGUUUGUGUUGAGGACUAUCUUUGAGUCCAUUGCUCAGUAGUAACCAACCAGCUCUCCAGCCAUAGCCACAUCCUUUAACUUGUUCUUGGUUGUUCUCAACCAUAGUCUUUUGUCUCCUAACCUACUACUACUGGUUGUACAUAUGUUGUGAACCCGUACACGAUGUUUGUGUCAUGUUUCCCAUGUAAUAACCUAACUGGAUUGUCACUUGUCUUUUUUCACUACUAAUUUUUCAAAAUGUUGAAUGUGAUUGUUGUAGCUGAAUGCAAACUAUUUAAUAUUUAGUCAUAAACAAAAUAAUAAUAUCUAGGAGGGCAAAUGUCAACUGUACAAAGUGUCUGUUCAAAGUUGUACAAUUUUAAUAUUAAACAUUUUCUUACAGAAGUAAGUAGAUAAAAGAAAGCAAAAUUUUAAGUGGUUACUGGAAAUGGAUUCCAAUUUCGAUAGCUAUAAAGACAAGAUUCAACGGCUCGGCUGAAAUUGCUGGCCAAUUUUUUACUUUUAUCAUUACUUACCUCUUUUUUUUUUAUUUGGGUGAGUGCAGUUGGUAUGCAGAGUGCCCGCUUAUUAACAGCCACUAGUGAGGUUGACUGUAGCUUUACUUCUGUAACCAAUAGGUUGAUCAUGUCCAUCAGGUUAUGGUUACAGUGCACCCCCAUUGUAACCAGUAGGUUGAUCAUGUCCAUCAGGUUAUGGUUACAGUGCACCCCCAUUGUAACUUGCUCUGGUCCAAGUGCUGAACUCUCACGGACAAUGUACAGCUCAGAAAGGUCGACUCGAAGCCCAGAUAGCCUAUACAGUACUGACCAAUCAGGGUUCAGACUUGGAUCUCGUGUAUCUUGGCGUUGUGGUUUGGACUUGCAACCUCAUCGUCCUCAUCUUUCCUGUACUUCUGGGUAUCUACCUUUGCCCGGUAUUCAUCUGAUGAUUUAAACUAUUUAUUAAUAAAUGAUGUGUUAGACUAAUGUUUCCCAAGUAUGGAGGGAAUAUUGUGGAACACAAAGGCAGUAAUGUGGUGGAUUCUCAGGUGGCCACAGAUAUUGGAAAAAAAAUUCUCGUUCGCUAAUGGUAAGUUUGUUAUUUAAGAGUCAUUUUCAAGGACAAUUAGCCUUGUAUAGUACAUUUAUUGAAAGUUGUAUUAAUCUGUUUGGUUGUAAUCACUUGUGUAUCUCCGUCUUUGGCCACCAUCCUGUCUUGAUGUUCCUGUGGAGGUGCUCAAAAUUAGCACUCUGGUAUUGUGUGUUUACAGCUUAUUUAGUUGUCUUGCAGAUGGUAACCAAUUUUUGUCGGGUUCUGUAAGUCAAUUAUUGCUUAUGCCUCUAAGCAGGGAUAUUAAUGUAAGUUAUUUGUUGUAUAGAGAAUUAAUUACAAAUAUUAAACCUUAUGUAAAUGAAAUAUAAAGUAAUAAUUCAGCAGCAAAGAAGGACUCAUUUAAUUCCUUCUGACAAAAAUGAUCCAUUUUAUGCAACCUUAGUUAAGCUGUAGAUACGAGAAUCCUUGUUUUGAAGCCAAAGCCUUUGUGAAGUAGCUGUGGGCUACAUUCAAUUUCUUUUACAAAGUUUUUUUUUGUAUCAUCCAAAAAAGAAAUAUGCAGUUAUGUUUUACUCUAACUUAACCAUAAAAUAAAGACGAGUUACUAUCCAUCUGCAUUUUUCCUCGGAUGAUAAUAUGCUUAGCGAUAUUUACUUUGUAUUGUUGUGUUCAGUAGUAAGGAGCGGGGUAGUAAAGAACUCGAGAAACUGGAAGCCUCAUGUUUUGAAAUGUACUCAAUAAAGUUGCAAGUGGACUUAAUUCUAUUCAAGUGAAGAGAGAAUUACGUCCAGGUGAGAACAAAAAAUUGCUAAAUGUGUAAUUUCAAUUGGUCUGGAUGUCAUAAGAUCUUGGACAUGUGUAAACUCACUUCCUGUAUGUCACUUGAGCCUCAUAAUGAAGUAUUUUGUUAUGCGAGAUUCAUACAGUGUUUGUUCAGCAUUUAAGAUAAGUGGUGCUAUGCUAUAAUUGUUGUCAACCAUAGUUCUGUAUGUAUACAUAGAAUUGUCUGAUGAUGAUGAUCAGGCCAUAUGCUCUUCAGUGUCAUACACCAUAGUUUUAUAUGUAUACAUCUGAUUCCUGUGUACAUUAUGUCUACAAUAUAAUUAUUGUAAGUGUUUUGUAUGUAUGCAUAUAAACAUAAUUCGGCCCCCAAGUAUUUGUGCCUUAAAUGCAGGGCAUGUUUUAGUGCUCUGCAGUACCCCACCCCUUACCAUUUGCUGCAUAACACAGUUAAGGACUUAUAUGUGCCAUUACAAUAUAUCAACUUGAGAAAUGUUGUUCAACACAAGCCUGGAUCACACUGGAACUUUCAGCUACACUGGCUUGACAGCAUGUAUUGUAAAGUAAAUAAUAAUGUGGACUUAAUCUUUGUUUUUAUAACUUUUUGUGGAUGAGGUCAAUUAAGUAUGAUGCACAAUAAACCCUGGCCUGUAAUUAUUCCCAGAUAGGCAUAUAAUUAUGCAGGGUAUAAUUGAAAUUGGAAUGUUACUUUCUUUAAUUAAGCAUUGUAAUGGUAUAAUUUCUAAAUCUAUUCGUGUCGCCCCAUAUUCUUCUCGGGCUGUACCUGGACGUCACUGUACCCCCUCUCCAUGUUACCACAAAUACAGUACCCUAAUAUCACAGUGACACCUGAUAAAAUUGCAAUCUUGUUUAUUUUAGAAGUACAGAGUCUACAGGCUAUCAUGAGGUGAUGCAUCAGGGUUCUAUUGUGCCUCUAUACAGCUUUCUUCGCAAGGUGUUUAGUCAAAUCUCACUCUAUUAAAUAAAUUUCUUCUCAAAAUGGAUAAUAAACCACACACACAUCUAGGUGAGUACACAGCCUAUGGUUUAUAGUGAAGAAAGGACUUCCAGUCAACCAAGGCUGUCUGUUUACCAUUUAAUGUUGUGUCGGUGUCAAGAAUUUGUUAAAUUUGUCUCAAUUUACUGAUUUUUUCUAAAUUUGUGAUUGUCGGUCGUCUACAUAAUUGUCCAGGGAAAGUUGGCCAUGUUGCGCAUCUUCAAAAUUGUUAUCAGAUGACCGCAUUUGCUGUACUUAAUGCACAAAUUUUUGUAAUUGUAUCGAGUAAAUAGAGUUUUUUUAGAAAUAA